rnacentral:pre_miRNA from 1 species
UUUAUUACACAACUCCAGGAUUCGUCGAUCAUGUGUAAUUAAGUUUGAUCGGCGUCUCCUGAAGUGAAGUAAUACA